UGAGAACCUCAGAGACUGAAGUUCUUUAUUUAUCCACUGGAGAGGUACAGCAUGGUCAGCAAUAGUGCAAGUUUGCCUGUACUGCCUCUCUCCAAUGUGCCUCAAACCUGACCCUGACGGAUCAUUUCUAUGGGUGCAGACAGUUCAGCUUGGCCUCUCAAGGGAGAUUGCC
ensembl:misc_RNA